rnacentral:rRNA from 1 species
UACGGGGAAGGGGGCAGUCGUUGUCGGAAUUACUGGGCGUAAAGGGCGCGUAGGCGGUUCGCUAAGUUGGAUGUGAAAACUCUGGGCUCAACCCAGAGCCUGCAUCCAAAACUGGCGGGCUAGAGUUCUGGAGGGGGUAGCGGAAUUCCUGGUGUAGCGGUGAAAUGCGUAGAUAUCAGGAGGAACACCGGUGGCGAAGGCGGCUACCUGGACAGAAACUGACGCUGGAGGCGCGAAAGCUAGGGGAGCAAACAGG